CAGCCGCCGCGGUAAUACGAAGGGGGCUAGCGUUGCUCGGAAUGACUGGGCGUAAAGGGCGCGUAGGCGGUUCGUACAGUUGGAUGUGAAAUUCCUGGGCUUAACCUGGGGGCUGCAUUCAAUACGUGUGGGCUUGAGUGUGGAAGAGGGUUGUGGAAUUCCCAGUGUAGAGGUGAAAUUCGUAGAUAUUGGGAAGAACACCGGUGGUGAAGGCGGCAACCUGGUCCAUAACUGACGCUGAGGCGCGAAAGCGUGGGGAGCAAACAGGAUUAGAUACCCCUGUAGUCCCUGUCUCUUAUAC
rnacentral:rRNA from 1 species